CCUUUUCUAAUUAUCUCUCUUCAAAAAUAUAGCAUACAUUGUUAACCUUGCGGUCAAUGUUGAAUACACCUCCAAAAAUACAUAUUCUUUCUCAUUUCUAUAGAAAGUAUACACCUUCAAGUCUGAAUGAAAACGAUUGAGAAACGGUGGAGACUCGACGAAAGAUGGAUCUAUGAAACAAUAGAGAUGUAUAUGGAGACACGACGGGAAUGGUAGAGACUCGAUGGAGACGGAAGAAGAAAACGUGAAGAAGAGAACAUGAAGAAGAG
rnacentral:lncRNA from 1 species